CGGCGAGUGAAGCGGCAACAGCUCAAAUUUGAAAUCUGGCCUUCGGGUCCGAGUUGUAAUUUGCAGAGGAUGCUUUUGGCGCGGUGCCUUCCGAGUUCCCUGGAAUGGGACGCCUUAGAGGGUGAGAGCCCCGUACGGUUGGACACUAAGCCUCUGUAAAGCUCCUUCGACGAGUCGAGUAGUUUGGGAAUGCUGCUCUAAAUGGGAGGUAAAUUUCUUCUAAAGCUAAAUAUUGGCCAGAGACCGAUAGCGCACAAGUAGAGUGAUCGAAAGAUGAAAAGCACUUUGAAAAGAGGGUUAAAUAGCACGUGAAAUUGUUGAAAGGGAAGCGUUUGCGACCAGACCUUUUCUUGGCGGAUCAUCCGGUGUUCUCACCGGUGCACUUCGCCAGGCUGAGGCCAGCAUCGGUUUUUGUAGGGGGAUAAAAGCCUGGGGAACGUAGCUCCCUCGGGAGUGUUAUAGCCCCUCGCAUAAUACCUUUACAGGGACCGAGGACCGCGCCUUCGGGCAAGGAUGCUGGCAUAAUGGUUGUCAACGACCCGUCUUGAAACACGGACCAAGGAGUCGAACAUUUGUGCAAGUGUUUGGGUGUUAAACCCUCACGCGUAAUGAAAGUGAACGGAGGUGAGAGCCCUUUACGGGGUGCAUCAUCGACCGAUCCUGAUGUCUUCGGAUGGAUUUGAGUAAGAGCAUAACUGUUCGGACCCGAAAGAUGGUGAACUAUGCGUGGAUAGGGUGAAGCCAGAGGAAACUCUGGUGGAGGCUCGCAGCGGUUCUGACGUGCAAAUCGAUCGUCAAAUCUGCGCAUGGGGGCGAAAGACUUAUCGAACCAUCUAGUAGCUGGUUACCGCCGAAGUUUCCCUCAGGAUAGCAGUGUUGUUCUUCAGUUUUAUGAGGUAAAGCGAAUGAUUAGGGACUCGGGGGCGCUUUUUAGCCUUCAUCCAUUCUCAAACUUUAAAUAUGUAAGAAGCCCUUGUUACUUAAUUGAACGUGGGCAUUCGAAUGUACCAACACUAGUGGGCCAUUUUUGGUAAGCAGAACUGGCGAUGCGGGAUGAACCGAACGCGGGGUUAAGGUGCCGGAGUGGACGCUCAUCAGACACCACAAAAGGUGUUAGCACAUUUAGACAAUAGGACGGUGGCCAUGGAAGUCGGAAUCCGCUAAGGACUGUGUAACAACUCACCUAUCGAAUGUGCUAGCCCUGAAAAUGGAUGGCGCUCAAGCGUCCCACCUAU
rnacentral:rRNA from 1 species